GAGUAGCUAGCGCAGUGGCCUGUGCGUUGGGGUGUCGACCAGCAGGUCGUGGGUUCGAUUCCCUCACCCCCCC
rnacentral:tRNA from 1 species